rnacentral:rRNA from 1 species
UAACCAGCGUCAAGCAGAAACGACUAUAUAUUAUAAUUUUUGAAGUUUCUGCUUCACGCCAAAUCAAGUGCCAACACAAAGGGAGCUGAGUAUUGAAUGUUGAAUGCAGGAUAGCGGCGGACGGGUGAGUAACGCGUGGGCAACCUGCCUCAUACAGGGGGAUAACACAGGGAAACUUGUGCUAAUACCGCAUAAUAUCAUUGGGUGGCAUCACCUGAUGAUCAAAGGAGAAAUCCGGUAUGAGAUGGGCCCGCGUCCGAUUAGCUAGUUGGUGAGGUAACGGCUCACCAAGGCGACGAUCGGUAGCCGAACUGAGAGGUUGAUCGGCCACAUUGGGACUGAGACACGGCCCAGACUCCUACGGGAGGCAGCAGUGGGGAAUAUUGCGCAAUGGGGGAAACCCUGACGCAGCAACGCCGCGUGAAGGAAGAAGGCCUUCGGGUUGUAAACUUCUUUGAUUGGGGACGAAGGAAGUGACGGUACCCAAAAAACAAGCCACGGCUAACUACGUG